rnacentral:rRNA from 1 species
UACGUAGGGACCGAGCGUUGUCCGGAUUCAUUGGGCGUAAAGGGCUCGUAGGCGGCUGCUUAAGUCGAAUGUGAAAACCCGGAGCUCAACUCCGGGACUGCAGUCGAUACGGGCGGGCUUGAGUGUUGCAGGGGAGACUGGAAUUCCUGGUGUAGCGGUGAAAUGCGCAGAUAUCAGGAGGAACACCGGUGGCGAAGGCGGGUCUCUGGGCAACUACUGACGCUGAGGAGCGAAAGCGUGGGGAGCGAACAGG